GAUGAACGCUGGCGGCGUGCCUAAUACAUGCAAGUCGAGCGAACAGACGAGGAGCUUGCUCCUCUGACGUUAGCGGCGGACGGGUGAGUAACACGUGGAUAACCUACCUAUAAGACUGGGAUGACUUCGGGAAACCGGAGCUAAUACCGGAUAAUAUAUUGAACCGCAUGGUUCAAUAGUGAAAGACGGUUUUGCUGUCACUUAUAGAUGGAUCCGCGCCGCAUUAGCUAGUUGGUAAGGUAACGGCUUACCAAGGCGACGAUGCGUAGCCGACCUGAGAGGGUGAUCGGCCACACUGGAACUGAGACACGGUCCAGACUCCUACGGGAGGCAGCAGUAGGGAAUCUUCCGCAAUGGGCGAAAGCCUGACGGAGCAACGCCGCGUGAGUGAUGAAGGUCUUCGGAUCGUAAAACUCUGUUACUAGGGAAGAACAAAUGUGUAAGUAACUAUGCACGUCUUGACGGUACCUAAUCAGAAAGCCACGGCUAACUACGUG
rnacentral:rRNA from 1 species